rnacentral:rRNA from 1 species
GACGAACGCUGGCGGCGCGCCUAACACAUGCAAGUCGAACGAGAGAUGAGGAGCUUGCUCUUCAAAUCGAGUGGCGAACGGGUGAGUAACGCGUGAGGAACCUGCCUCAAAGAGGGGGACAACAGUUGGAAACGACUGCUAAUACCGCAUAAGCCCACGGCUCGGCAUCGAGCAGAGGGAAAAGGAGCAAUCCGCUUUGAGAUGGCCUCGCGUCCGAUUAGCUAGUUGGUGAGGUAACGGCCCACCAAGGCGACGAUCGGUAGCCGGACUGAGAGGUUGAACGGCCACAUUGGGACUGAGACACGGCCCAGACUCCUACGGGAGGCAGCAGUGGGGAAUAUUGCACAAUGGGGGAAACCCUGGUGCAGCGACGCCGCGUGGAGGAAGAAGGUCUUCGGAUUGUAAACUCCUGUUGUUGAGGAAGAUAAUGACGGUACUCAACAAGGAAGUGACGGCUAACUACGUGCCAGCAGCCGCGGUAAAACGUAGGUCACAAGCGUUGUCCGGAAUUACUGGGUGUAAAGGGAGCGCAGGCGGGAGAACAAGUUGGAAGUGAAAUCCAUGGGCUCAACCCAUGAACUGCUUUCAAAACUGUUUUUCUUGAGUAGUGCAGAGGUAGGCGGAAUUCCCGGUGUAGCGGUGGAAUGCGUAGAUAUCGGGAGGAACACCAGUGGCGAAGGCGGCCUACUGGGCACCAACUGACGCUGAGGCUCGAAAGUGUGGGUAGCAAACAGGAUUAGAUACCCUGGUAGUCCACACCGUAAACGAUGAUUACUAGGUGUUGGAGGAUUGACCCCUUCAGUGCCGCAGUUAACACAAUAAGUAAUCCACCUGGGGAGUACGACCGCAAGGUUGAAACUCAACGGAAUUGACGGGGGCCCGCACAAGCAGUGGAGUAUGUGGUUUAAUUCGACGCAACGCGAAGAACCUUACCAAGUCUUGACAUCCCUUGACGAUGCUGGAAACAGUAUUUCUCUUCGGAGCAAGGAGACAGGUGGUGCAUGGUUGUCGUCAGCUCGUGUCGUGAGAUGUUGGGUUAAGUCCCGCAACGAGCGCAACCCUUAUGGUCAGUUACUACGCAAGAGGACUCUGGCCAGACUGCCGUUGACAAAACGGAGGAAGGUGGGGAUGACGUCAAAUCAUCAUGCCCUUUAUGACUUGGGCUACACACGUACUACAAUGGCGUUAAACAAAGAGAAGCAAGACCGCGAGGUGGAGCAAAACUCAGAAACAACGUCCCAGUUCGGACUGCAGGCUGCAACUCGCCUGCACGAAGUCGGAAUUGCUAGUAAUCGUGGAUCAGCAUGCCACGGUGAAUACGUUCCCGGGCCU